CUGGACAAUCAUUGAGCUGAGAGGAGGUGAUCUUUGAGAAACAGCCUGCGUUCCUGGACUCUUCCAGGGCCGUAUUGCAGGUUGUUGUUCUAAGCAGGUGCCUGAAGAGGGCAAAGGCUUUUUUCUUUUUUCUUUCCUACACUUCUCUGCCUCAUGGUGACUUCAGUUUCCAUGUUCUCAACCAGUUCUCCCUCAUUUGUAGGUAUGAGGCCCUGCUGAGCAUCAGCUCCUUGACUGACUGCAUCACAUAGUUAUCAGUGCACUCUGGGAGUGUGCCCUGCUGGGCUGACUGCAGCAGAUUUUAGGGUGAUUCAAAUCCCCCCUGAGAAGAUGAGGCUUCUUCCAGUUGUUGUGGGUUAUGUGUCCCCUGUGGAAAUGAACUUGCUUUGUUUUGGCAGCGCUCCCAAAGGAACAUGUUCUGGUCUGGCAUUGCUGCACAGCAGGAUGACUUAUUUUAGGGCCAUAAAAGCACUUUCCUGUAUCUUAAAACACUUUCCCUUUUUCACUUGGAUAACAACUAUCAAACAGUACAACACAAUGUACAUCAACUUCAAUUAAGCCCUCUAUUAGAUACUCCGUGUGUUCAGAGUGAGCAGAGGGGGAACCCAAAGCACUUUCAGGCAAGAUGUACUGUUCAUUAAAAGCAGCCCCUGGACAGGCAGCUCAAUCUGCUCCUGAAAUCUGAUAGAAAAAGGACUUGUUGUGCAUUUCUUGAGUUUUCUGAUUGCAUUUAAUGUUUGCUAACAGCGUGGGCUGUUAACAUGGGAGGCAGUGGGGGGGAGGGGGUAGAUUUGAGGCAGGCAGUGCAGCCUUUCUUCCUGAACGUCUCUGUUUACUGUUUAAUCCUGUUUCCCUUUUACUUUGUUUUGGCAAAGUUCCCACUGCUUAAACAGUGAACUGCAGGACUGGUGGAUACUCUGAGGUCCCUCCAGGCUUCAAAGUGCAGCACUGACACUGAGAAGCCGUAAAGGUCAGCAAAGCCAGUGUAUGCAGAUCACAUCCCACCUCUUCAAAAUGAAAGCAAAAGCCAUGAAGUGCGCUGCGUGGGAAUGACAAGGGAAGGGGGGGCGAUGGGAAGAUGUUCAUCUAAGGAUUUUCGUGAUCGUUAUUUCCCUGCAUGAAGAGCAGUAAUGGCUGCACAAUCUCACAGCCCUCCAGAAGAUACUGAAAGGCCACUAUCAGGUCUUCCUGAAGCCUUCUUUUCUCCAGGCUGAGCAGCCCCAGCUCUUUCAGCCUGUCCUCGUAGGAGAGGUGUUUCAUCCCUGGGAUCAUUCUUGUGGACACACUCCAACAGAUGAACAAGUGAAGAGCAAAUGAAAAACUGCAUGCAGAAUUCUUAUUGCACAAGAGAAUUCAAUAUAAACCAUCUGGCAAGUAAAACAGCACCCUUUGGAAAAGAACAGCAUAUCUCCUUGAGCUGCUGCUAAUCUAACAAAAGUGAAAGGAUAGGAAUAGAACCUGGAAUUAAUGCCAUUGCUCUCACAUCUAUUUGAGAAUAACACAGCAGGUUUAAUUAACUAUAUGGCUGAAAGAAGUUACCAGUUCUUAAAUGUUUUCUAAUAUUUUCACUGUUGGUAUAAAACUAGUGGUUACUAUUGUAUUGCUAAGUGAAGAGUUCACAGAAUCACAGAAUCAUAGAAUGGCCUGGGUUGAAAAGUACCUCAAAGAUCAUCGAGUUUCAAUCCCCUGCUAUGUGCAGGGUUGCCAAUCACCAGACCAGGCUGCCCAGAGCCACAUCCAGCCUGGCCUUGAAUGCCUCCAGGGAUGGGGCAUCCACAACCUCCUUGGGCAACCUGUUCCACUGUGUCACCUCCCUCUAUGUGAAAAACUUCCUCCUAAUAUCUAACCCAAACCUCCCCUGCCUCUGUUUAAAACCAUUCCCUCUGGUCCUAUCACUACCCACCCAUGUAAACAGUCAUUCCCCCUCCUGUUUAUAAGCUCCCUUUAAGUACUGAAAGGCCACAGCGAGGUCCCCUGGAGCUUACUCUUCUCCAAGCUAAACAAGCCCGGUUCCCUCAACCUUUCUUCACAGGAGAGGUGCUCCAGCCCUCUGAUAAUCUUAGUGGCCCUCCUCUGGACAUGUUCCAAGAGCUCUGAAUCUUUUUUGUGCUGGGGGCCCCAGGCCUGGAUGCAGUAUUCCCAAGGGACCUCACAAGAGCCGAGUACAGGGAGACGAUCACCUCCCUCUCCCUCCUGGCCACCUUUUUUAAUGCAGAGACUGCAAAAAGUUAUAGCAGAGGUAAGGUUUAUUGUGCAACCUACUUCAAUGGAGCAAACCAAUUAAUAUAACCAAUUCAGUAUAACCUUGAAUUACCUGCUGGAAUGUUUUUAUCCUCAGUAAGGUUUGUUUUAUAUUCUUAUAUCAGGCACAGUGUUUCAACUGUUUAUCAAGUUGAACUUCCUUUAAUGCUGUUUAAAUACUGCAACUGAAUAAUUUCAUUGAGAAACAUAUUAACCUUUCAGAUUAUGAAAGCAAUAAAGAACCAAGAUUAAAAUUGGCACUUGGUACCUAUGAUUGAAAAGUAAAUGAAACAGAUAUGCACAAAUGUUUCAUACCAUUUUCUUCAGGAUGCAGGUCUAAUAAGUCAUCUACAGCACCUAAGAAUAAAAAAGAAGAAAAAAUUAAAAGCAACAGGAGAUUUGCAGUACUGACAAACACCUUGCAUACAUCUAGAUGUAGUUUCUUUAGACACUUCACCUGACUUCUGUUUGUGGUUACAAUUUCCUUGUAACUUGGAUAGGGAAUCCUUGCCAUCAUGAGCUGUAAUCAAGAGCCAUGAACACAUCAAAUCACACUUGGCACUUGAUAGUAUUGAAAGAAUGAGAACGUUGCAUGUUGAACAUUGUGACAUUGUUUAUGAACAUUUGCUACUCAUGCUUAAAAUGAACCUGGUCACCAUGGGUGAAAGACCCAAGAUAUUUAAAAAUACUUGUAAGUAACAUUUCUGAAUAAUAACAAGACAAAAUCUUCCUCUGCAACACCACCUGCCCCACAAGACCAUCUCCAGGCUAGGUGCACCCAAAUGAGGCAACUCCUGAACUGAACGUUCCUCCAGAAGCAGAUUUUUUUAUUUUUUAUUUUUUUUAAUAUGUUUGUACUUCCACAGGGCAGAAGAGAGAACAAAAGUGCUCAGGAUCUCAUCAAUCCUUAAACUGCUUUUCUUGACUAUGCAUCAGUUUAUUAUAUAAACUGGAUGUUAAGAACUGGAAGCAGUUGAUGAGAAGAGCUGUGAAUAAACAGUCCCAUCACUAGUGGCACCAUGUUGAUUAUUUUAGGAUAUAAAGAUGUAUUUAAAAAAGAAGAAAAAGCAGAACAAAAAAACCAAUCUUAGCAAUGUCAGAGACUUGUCAGUAUAUGAAGAGGGGAAAAUUUAGCAAAAGUAUUCCAAAAUAAUUAAGUUCCUUCUAGAGAUGAAGGAGAAAGAGACACAACAAGGUAUUUAUAUUAUGGAUAAUACUUAUGAGCUGACAAAUAUUUCAGUAAGUGAGAAUGAUUCUAGACAACGUCUGCUAAGAAAAUACUUUAGAAGUCAGGUUUUUAUAUUAAAAAAAUAUUAAAAUAUCUGGUAAAGUAAGUAUCCAAUUGCUUAACAGCAAAGUGGUUGAAACUUCUAAUUGCCAAAAAAAUGUCCUGAUGCAGUGCCACAAUUAAAGAAAACACACACACACA